rnacentral:tRNA from 1 species
AAUCAUUUAACUAUAAUUUAAGUGUAUAUUUUGAAAAUAUAAAAAAGAUAUAUUCUAAUGAUUU